GACGAACGCUGGCGGCGCGCUUAACACAUGCAAGUCGUGCGGUGUCGAAGGCAAGUCUUACGACAAGCCUUCGACACAGCGGCGAACGGGUGAGUAACACGUGAGUAGCUGUCCUAAGGAGGGGGAUAACGCCUGGAAACGGGUGCUAACACCCCAUAUGCCUCGCAAGAGGUGAAAGUGUACUUGCUACAGCCUUAGGGUGUGCUCGCGGCCUAUCAGCUAGUUGGUGAGGUAAUGGCUCACCAAGGCGACGACGGGUAGCCGGCCUGAGAGGGCGACCGGCCACACUGGGACUGAGACACGGCCCAGACUCCUACGGGAGGCAGCAGUCGAGAAUAGUCUACAAUGGCCGGAAGGCUGAUAGUGCGACGCCGCGUGAACGAGGGAGCCCUUCGGGUGUAAAGUUCUUUUCUAUACGAGCAGUGCUAUAUAUAUGGAUAGUAUAUAUAGAGGGAUAGUAGUAUAGGAAUAAGCAACGGCUAACUCCGUG
rnacentral:rRNA from 1 species